rnacentral:ncRNA from 2 species
ACUUAAUAAUGAAAUAUAGGUUUAAUCAGUAACGUGAUUGAUUAAAAGGGAAUCAGGUGAAAAUCCUGAGCUAUCCCGUAGCUGUAUUAAGGGAGUUUAGGUACAAGAUGUCACUUAAGUUUUAGGGAAGACGUACUUAAAUUAUGAUCUUUGAGUCAGAAGACCUGCCUAUAUUUUUGACUAAAG